UGGCUCUGGCAUCGAUGAAGAACGCAGCGAAAUGCGAUAAGUAAUGUGAAUUGCAGAAUUCAGUGAAUCAUCGAAUCUUUGAACGCACAUUGCGCCCACCAGUAUUCUGGUGGGCAUGCCUGUCCGAGCGUCAUUUCAACCCUCAGGCCCGGCCUGGUGUUGGGGAUUGGCUUCACAGCCAGCCCCGAAAUGCAGUGGCGGCCCUCCGCAACUCCUCUGUGUAGUAGUGAUACCCGCAUUGGAUAGUGGUUGCGCCUCGCCGUAAAACCUCCAACUUCUCAAGGUUGACCUCGGAUCAGGUAGGAAUACCCGCUGA
rnacentral:misc_RNA from 1 species